AUGUGUGUUAACUUCAAGUGCAAAUAUGCCUACAUGACUGCACGAGUCCACUGGGCGAAAGCACUAGCGAGUACCUCGAAACUUAAUCUGAAACCAAGUGGUUUAUGCUUAUGUGGCUACACAAACCUGCUAAAGGUGAGUAACAAAGUGAUAUUGCCUACAUGGCCUCACGACCCCCACCAUACCGAUAAUCCAGGUGAGUAUCCAAGUGAGUAA